rnacentral:rRNA from 1 species
CCUACGGGUGGCAGCAGUGAGGAAUAUUGGUCAAUGGGCGCGAGCCUGAACCAGCCAAGUCGCGUGAGGGAGGACGGCCCUACGGGUUGUAAACCUCUUUUGCCGGGGAGCAACGGGCGUCACGUGUGGCGCCACUGAGAGUACCCGGAGAAAAAGCAUCGGCUAACUCCGUGCCAGCAGCCGCGGUAAUACGGAGGAUGCGAGCGUUAGCGGGAUUUAUUGGGUUUACAGGGUGCGUAGGCGGAUCAUUAAGUCAGUGGUAAAAUUGAGGGGCUCAACCCCUUCCCGCCAUUGAAACUGGCGCUCUUGAGUGGAAGAGAAGUAUGCGGAAUGCGUGGUGUAGCGGUGAAAUGCAUAGAUAUCACGCAGAACCCCGAUUGCGAAGGCAGCAUGCCGGCUUCCGACUGACGCUGAAGCACGAAAGCGUGGGGAUCGAACAGGAUUAGAUACCCCAGUAGUC